AACCCCCCAAAAACCCCCAAACCCUGAAGGGAACGCAACGCAGCUCCACCACCGCCGCUCACCGCGCGAUGGAUCGCAACAGCCCCUGCCCACUCGAUAAGGAGUACUCCGAUCACAUCUCUGCUCUUCUAUCUCCUCCUCCGCCUCCUCAAUCCGUUCAGGAGUACUAUGAUGAAGUUAUAGAAGCUACAAAAUGUACUGGUGUAAGAGUAAGCUGCAGCAGCAGACAUGGAAAAGGUGUAUAUGCCAAUAGAGACUUCACCAAAGAUGAACUAAUUUUGAAGGAUCAAAUACUAGUCGGUGCACAACACAGUUCUAAUAAGGUUGAUUGUCUUGUAUGUAGCUACUGUUAUCGCUUUAUUGGUUCUAUAGAGCUCCAAAUUGGAAGAAGGUUAUACUUGCAGAGCCUAGGGUUGUCUACUAGCAAACAUUGUCAUGAUGAUACAGGAUCAAGUUCUUCUAUAAACAUGAAUGAGAAUUCACCUCCGGAAGAGGUGCUGAAAUCGCUUAUAAAUGGGAAUCUAUCAUUGCCUUACACCAGUCAAUUUGCUUUGCCUCCUGUUAUUGCUUGUCCUGGAGGGUGUGAGGAAGAACACUAUUGCAGUCAAUUUUGUGCAGAGUCUGACUGGACAUCAUAUCAUUCUCUCCUAUGUACUGGUUCUAACACGGGAGAAUCACGAAGGUCCGCGCUCCUUAAGUUUAUAGAUCAUGCUAACGGAACAAAUGACAUUUUUCUGGUUGCUGCUAAGGCAAUAUCUUUUACUAUUUUGAGGUACAAGAAAUUGAAAAGCUUGCAAGGCGUAGAAAAUGAACAACAUCCUACUCCUGAUAACUCCAACAAAUCAGAUUUUUCUUUGCUUUUGGAAGCAUGGAAGCCAGUCUCAAUGGGGUUCAAAAAAAGGUGGUGGGACUGCAUUGCUUUGCCGGAUGAUGUCGAUACCUGUGAUGAAGCAUCAUUUAGAAUGGAAAUACAAGACCUAGCAUUUAUAUCACUGCAGCUUCUCAAGGAUGCUAUCUUUGACAUUGAGUGUGCUCCAUUAUUUUCACUCGAGGUCUAUGGGAAUAUAAUUGGCAUGUUUGAACUGAAUAAUCUUGAUUUAGUUGUGGCAUCACCUGUUGAGGACUAUUUCAUAUAUAUAGAUGAUCUUUCACAGCGGGAAAAGGAAGAAGCUGAAAGAGUAACACAACCCUUCCUAGAGGCUUUAGGUGAUGAGUAUUCAGUUUCUUGUCAAGGGACUGCAUUCUUCCCAAUUCAGAGCUGUAUGAACCAUUCGUGCUGUCCAAAUGCCAAUGCUUUCAAAAGAGAUGAGGAUAAAGAUGGGCACGCCACAAUAAUUGCUCGCCAACCAAUCUCCGAAGGAGAGGAGAUAACGAUCUCAUAUAUUGAUGAGGAUCUUCCGUAUGAAGAGAGACAAGCACUUCUUGCUGAUUAUGGCUUCAGUUGCAUGUGUCCAAGAUGCCUGAAAGAGCAGCCCAAGUAACUGUUGCUUAGACUUCAAAAAGUUACAAAAGUAGCAGUUUGAAUUGAUUAAUCCUGAUUAAUCAAAGUGGUUAAAGCUCUCUCUGAGGUCCGAACCGGAUCCCCGUAUGGGGCGAACCACGUUGCGGCGCUCCUCCGCAAUGCCCAAAAUGCCCCGCACGCGAGGGGAGAUCUCGGGGCAUUCUCGUCAUUUCCCGCAAAAGAGUCGAAGGCGCCGCAACAUCGCACGUGCCGGCCCGCUGGACAAGCGUACGAGUAAUCUGGCCCGGCCCUUUCGAUUGCCGCAACAUGGAACGCCGGAUCCAACGGUUCUGGCUCCGAGUUGUUCUAUGCGGGCGUCCCUUCUUUGCUCUCCUAUGCGGCCACGCAAUUUUUUUUUUUUUUAAUUCAAUAUUCAGGUUUUUCGCUCGUUAUACUGUACCUCUAUUUUAGUAUAGUAAACCUACAUUAGUUUGAUGGGUUGUUUUGGAGAAACAAGAGUGAUGUUUGGUGCAAACUCCUCUCACUAGUAUAUAUAUUUUUUUAGUUUCUCCGCGAU